AACGCGAAGAACCUUACCUGGGCUCGAAGCGCAGUGGACUGGGGUAGAAAUAUCCCUUUCCCGCAAGGGACUGCUGCGGAGGUGCUGCAUGGCUGUCGUCAGCUCGUGUCGUGAGAUGUUGGGUUAAGUCCCGCAACGAGCGCAACCCUUAUCCCUAGUUGCUACCGGGUCAAGCCGAGCACUCUAGUGAAACUGCCUCGGAUAACGAGGAGGAAGGUGGGGAUGACGUCAAGUCCUCAUGGCCUUUAUGUCCAGGGCUACACACGUGCUACAAUGGUCGGUACAAACCGUCGCAAACCCGCGAGGGGGAGCUAAUCGGAAAAAGCCGACCUCAGUUCGGAUUGGAGUCUGCAACUCGACUCCAUGAAGCUGGAAUCGCUAGUAAUCGCGGAUCAGAACGCCGCGGUGAAUACGUUCCCGGGCCUUGUA
rnacentral:rRNA from 1 species